GCCGUAAAAAAGCGUGUGGUGUCGCGAUCCCCGCGGCCGGAAGUGGGGAGGUGGAGCCGGAAGCCCCGCAGCGGAGGAAGGGGGACACGGCGUGAGGCGGCAGGAGGAAACAUGUGACGUGGACAGUCGGGGGUGGGAGGACUUCACGGGGGAUCUGUGUCCCCCCACAUCCCUGCGUUGAGUUAACGAGGUUACCAAGGAAUUACUGGAAAAUUGAGAAAGUGGUCGUUGAACACAGCCGAAGGUUGAAUCCUGCGCUCUCUCUAGCAACCUUGACGCCACAGAUGCCAUCACCGGAAGGAAGGAGCCUAUUUUACAGAAGAGUCAGAGAGGCUUUGUGAGUUUAUCUGCUUUGAUACAACAUUUUGUGGGAUGAGGGAGGGGAUAGCUAACUAGAUAUAAA